rnacentral:rRNA from 1 species
GACAGAGGGGGCAAGCGUUGCUCGGAAUUACUGGGCGUAAAGGGCUCGUAGGUGGCCAACUAAGUCAGACGUGAAAUCCCUCGGCUUAACCGGGGAACUGCGUCUGAUACUGGAUGGCUUGAGUUUGGGAGAGGGAUGCGGAAUUCCAGGUGUAGCGGUGAAAUGCGUAGAUAUCUGGAGGAACACCGGUGGCGAAGGCGGCAUCCUGGACCAACACUGACACUGAGGAGCGAAAGCCAGGGGAGCAAACGGG